AUUGAACGCUGGCGGCAGGCUUAACACAUGCAAGUCGAGCGAGCGGCGGACGGGUGAGUAAUGUCUGGGAAACUGCCUGAUGGAGGGGGAUAACUACUGGAAACGGUAGCUAAUACCGCAUACCAUCAGAUGUGCCCAGAUGGGAUUAGCUAGUAGGUGGGGUAAUGAGUCACCUAGGCGGCGAUCCCUAGCUGGUCUGAGAGGAUGACAAGCCACCGUGGAAUUGAGUAACGGUCCAGCGUCCUACGGAGCGCAGCAGUGGGGAAUAUUGCACAAUGGGCGAAAGCCUGAUGCAGCCAUGCCGCGUGUGUGAAGAAGGCCUUCGGGUUGUAAAGCACUUUCAGCGAGGAGGCGUUACUCGCAGAAGAAGCACCGGCUAACUCCGUGCCAGCCGCCGCGGUAAUUC
rnacentral:rRNA from 1 species